rnacentral:SRP_RNA from 1 species
GCUGGGCGUGGUGGCGGGCGCCUGUAAUCCCAGCUACUCAGGAAGCUGAGGCAGGAGAAUCGCUUGAACCCAGGAGGUGGAGGUUGCAGUGAGCCACGCGCGUGCCACUGCACUCCAGCCUGGGUGACAGAGUGAGACUCCGUCUCAA